CCUCCUCACCUCCAGCUCAGAGAAUUCCUAGCUCCCUUUAAAGCACAGUUCAGGGGCCUUCUCUUAUGGAAGGCUUCUUCUGAUCUCUUCAGUUGUGAAUUCCCUCUCCCUCUGCCCUGACAGUUAGUUUGCAUUUACUCUGUCUUUCUAUUUCAAGUCAGCGAACCAGUCCAGAACAGGUCAUAUUCAUAAGCAGGAAAGAGUGGGAAAAAUUAUCCAUUUACUAUCCCCACCCUCUCCAAACAAAGUGGGAGGGAUGGAUGGAGAAAGAGAAUCAAGGAAAGAGAAAGGAAGAGAUGGAUACAUAAAUGGAUGGAGAGAGUCAGUGCCAGGGCUAACAGCUUGCCUUGGCUGGGAGCAAGAACAGUGUGGGCAACAGAAGCAGAAUCAAGUAAGCCCGACUCUUCCUGGAGCAGCCUACUUCACCCACUCCUCUGAUGUUCAGGACAUGAUUCAGAAACAUCCUACUGCUGCAUCUAGGAAAUUUCUGGCCUCUCGACAGCAUCUCCUUGGAAAGUCAUGCCAUCCUGUUAAAUAUCCUCUCUCUGUCCUUGUUACAGGCUGUCACCUAGGAUAUCUAACAAUUCAAGUUAUCCCAACAUGAAAUGAGAGGUCUUCAAACACAGGUCAGGUGGCCACUUGCUGAGAAUGAAAUAGAAAGGAUUGCUGUUCAGGUCUGGGUUGGACUUAUUGGCCCCUGAUGUUCCUUCUAGCUUGGAAAUUCUGUCAGUCUUCAAUCAGAAUGACCUCUACUCACACCCACAAAAAUGGCCACAUGCUAACCCAUGCUCCUCUACCUCUAAGAUCCUGAAUGCUGAAAUUCUUUCUUUCUGACCACAAUUGUCCACCCUUCCACCUCUCCCACUGCCUCAUUCCUCCUGACUUUUCUCAGCGCCUUGAUUUUGACCUCUGCUCCCUCACUCCUCCUUAUUUUCCCAACUUGCCAUCCUCUCUCUGGCUUUUCCUUCUUCCCUAUCCAGCUUGGCCUCUGAAAUCAUGGCACUUGAAGAGUGCCACUUUUCCUUCCUUCCCGCUGGCCUUUUACUAUUUCUGCCUUCCUUGUUGGAAACCCUGGCUCACCACUUCCAUCCAUCGUCUCUGCCCCUGCUUUCAGGCUAUUGAGAACUGCUGGAAGAAACCAGGAAACCACGGCUAUUUAAUCCAUUCUAGUCUGAUUCUUCGCAACCAUAGCUGGAUCUUUGCUACCAGUGUCAUGAGCAUCUGCUGCCUCCCUAUUGCAGUCCUCCCAGGAUCUAUUCCAAACUUUCCCCUCUCUGCUUACAAUCUCAGUAAUAACUCCAACCUCUGGCAGUAAAUAAGCCCCAUACAAGGACCUAGGAUAGAAACCUGACUGCUCCAGGAGGCAACUUGCCUGUUUUCCUCAAAUGCACCGGUGCUAAGGCUACUCUUAGCUGUCA